GUGGAUUAGAUACCCUGGUAGUCCAUGCCGUAAACGUUGGGCGCUAGGUGUGGGACUCAUUCCACGAGUUCCGUGCCGCAGCUAACGCAUUAAGCGCCCCGCCUGGGGAGUACGGCCGCAAGGCUAAAACUCAAAGGAAUUGACGGGGGCCCGCACAAGCGGCGGAGCAUGUGGAUUAAUUCGAUGCAACGCGAAGAACCUUACCAAGGCUUGACAUAUACCGGAAACAUCUGGAGACAGGUGCCCCGCAAGGUCGGUAUACAGGUGGUGCACGGUCGUCGUCAACU
rnacentral:rRNA from 1 species